rnacentral:rRNA from 1 species
GAUGAACGCUGGCGGCGUGCCUAAUACAUGCAAGUCGAGCGAACAGACGAGGAGCUUGCUCCUCUGACGUUAGCGGCGGACAGGUGAGUAACACGUGGAUAACCUACCUAUAAGACUGGGAUAACUUCGGGAAACCGGAGCUAAUACCGGAUAAUAUAUUGAACCGCAUGGUUCAAUAGUGAAAGACGGUUUUGCUGUCACUUAUAGAUGGAUCCGCGCCGCAUUAGCUAGUUGGUAAGGUAACGGCUUACCAAGGCAACGAUGCGUAGCCGACCUGAGAGGGUGAUCGGCCACACUGGAACUGAGACACGGUCCAGACUCCUACGGGAGGCAGCAGUAGGGAAUCUUCCGCAAUGGGCGAAAGCCUGACGGAGCAACGCCGCGUGAGUGAUGAAGGUCUUCGGAUCGUAAAACUCUGUUAUUAGGGAAGAACAAAUGUGUAAGUAACUAUGCACGUCUUGGCGGUACCUAAUCAGAAAGCCACGGCUAACUACGUG